rnacentral:rRNA from 1 species
AGAGUUUGAUCCUGGCUCAGGACGAACGCUGGCGGCGUGCUUAACACAUGCAAGUCGAACGAGGUUCAGCCGAUCCUUCGGGGGAAGCGAAAAUCUAGUGGCGAACGGGUGCGUAACACGUGAGAAACCUGCCCCGGACUUGGGAAUAACAGUCGGAAACGGCUGCUAAUACCGAAUAUCUUCGUAGCGUCGCAUGGCGCAUCGAAGAAAGCUUUUGCGGUCUGGGAGGGUCUCGCGGCCUAUCAGCUAGUUGGUGAGGUAACGGCUCACCAAGGCAUCGACGGGUAGCUGGUCUGAGAGGACGAUCAGCCACACUGGGACUGAGACACGGCCCAGACUCCUACGGGAGGCAGCAGUGGGGAAUCUUGCGCAAUGGGCGAAAGCCUGACGCAGCGACGCCGCGUGAGGGAAGAAGGCCUUCGGGUUGUAAACCUCUUUCAGCAGGGACGAAGCUACUCGGGUUAACAGCCCAGAGGGUGACGGUACCUGUAGAAGAAGCCCCGGCUAACUACGUGCCAGCAGCCGCGGUAAUACGUAGGGGGCAAGCGUUGUCCGGAUUUACUGGGCGUAAAGAGCGUGUAGGCGGCCAAGCAGGUCUGUUGUGAAAACUGGAGGCUCAACCUCCAGACGUCGACAGAAACCGCUUGGCUAGAGUCCGGAAGAGGGGAGUGGAAUUCCUGUGUAGCGGUGAAAUGCGCAGAUAUCAGGAAGAACACCAAUGGCGAAGGCAGCUCUCUGGGACGGUACUGACGCUGAGACGCGAAAGCGUGGGGAGCGA